AAGACGGAACUUGAGCCCAGGCACUGCAGCAGUAGGGCAGACGGGGGAAGGACACAGGAUGAAGACAGAGGGUGCAACCACAGUGGCAGACAAGGACACAGCCCCUCCUCCAUACAUGCAGAUAGCACAGCCUGGGCACAGCAGCUCCCAUGAAGACAUCUGUGAGCUGUGGGGCUAGUUUAUUGGCUAAAAGGCCACGGCUUCAGGGAUUAGUGAAAACUGCCAUCACUCCAGGAAGACGUUUCAGAAUAUACAACUGGAAUGUGUUUUCCAGUGAAAUGAUAACAAAGUGCGACUUUAAGACAAUAAAAAUGCCAGA